UAAGGAUUUAAGUUAAAUAUUAAACUAUUAGCCUUCAAAGCUAAAAACAGGACAGUACCUAAGCCUUAG
rnacentral:tRNA from 1 species